AAUUAACAUUAAUUGUUUCUUAUGUAAUAAACUGUAGAGUCGUUAUUUUCCAUUGAAAUUUCCUUACAAAAUAACUCGUGAGUCGAGUUAACCUGAAAGAAAAUUUCAAUAGAAAUUAACGACUCUAUAGUUUAUCGCAUAAAAACACUUAAGAGCUGGAAUUUGUUCCUCGACUCUAGAAAAUGACAAACAAAAGAAUAACAAAGAUUUUUGUUACUAAUGUUUUAUUUGGAUAAACUUGGUCGAUUUUGAAGGAUUUCCCCCUUCACUUUAUAGUUAGGUUAUACAUUCAUGAUUGCACAAUAAACAUCAAGUUUUUUAUGUAAUAAACUGUAGAGUCAUUAUCUUCCAUUGAAAUUUCUUUACAAAAUAACUCGAAAGUGGAGUUAACCCGAAAGG
rnacentral:lncRNA from 1 species